AGAUUAAGUUAUUAAGGGCGCACGGUGGAUGCCUUGGCACUAGAAGCCGAUGAAGGACGUUACUAACGACGAUAUGCUUUGGGGAGCUGUAAGUAAGCUUUGAUCCAGAGAUUUCCGAAUGGGGAAACCCAGCAUGAGUUAUGUCAUGUUAUCGAUAUGUGAAUACAUAGCAUAUCUGAAGGUAGACGCGGAGAACUGAAACAUCUUAGUACCCGCAGGAAGAGAAAGAAAAAUCGAUUCCCUGAGUAGCGGCGAGCGAAACGGGAAGAGCCCAAACCAACGAGCUUGCUUGUUGGGGUUGUAGGACACUCUAUACGGAGUUACAAAAGAAUAAACUAGACGAAUCAUCUGGAAAGAUGAAUCAAAGAAGGUAAUAAUCCUGUAGUCGAAAGUUUGUUCACUCUUGAGUGGAUCCUGAGUACGACGGAACACGAGAAAUUCCGUCGGAAUCCGGGAGGACCAUCUCCCAAGGCUAAAUACUCUCUAGUGACCGAUAGUGAACCAGUACCGUGAGGGAAAGGUGAAAAGUACCCCGGAAGGGGAGUGAAAUAGAACUUGAAACCGUGUGCUUACAAGUAGUCAGAGCCCGUUAAUGGGUGAUGGCGUGCCUUUUGUAGAAUGAACCGGCGAGUUACGAUUUGAUGCAAGGUUAAGCAGUGAAUGUGGAGCCGUAGCGAAAGCGAGUCUGAAUAGGGCGUUGAGUAUUUGGUCGUAGACCCGAAACCAGGUGAUCUACCCAUGACCAGGUUGAAGUUCAGGUAACACUGAAUGGAGGACCGAACCGACUUACGUUGAAA
rnacentral:rRNA from 1 species